rnacentral:rRNA from 1 species
UGGCGGCGUGCUUAACACAUGCAAGCCGAACGAAGCAACUUAUCACGAGUCCCUUCGGGGUGACGAUUGUUGACUGAGUGGCGGACGGGUGAGUAACGCGUGGGUAACCUGCCUGUACAGGGGGACAACAGUUGGAAACGACUGCUAAUACCGCAUAAGCGCACAGCUUCGCAUGAAGUAGUGUGAAAAGAUUUUUUCGGUACAAGAUGGACCCGCGUCUGAUUAGCUAGUUGGUGAGGUAACGGCCACCAAGGCGACGAUCAGUAGCCGACCUGAGAGGGUGACCGGCCACAUUGGGACUGAGACACGGCCCAAACUCCUACGGGAGGCAGCAGUGGGGAAUAUUGCACAAUGGGCGAAAGCCUGAUGCAGCCGACGCCGCGUGAGCGAAGAAGUAUUUCGGUAUGUAAAGCUCUAUCAGCAGGGAAGAUAAUGACGGUACCUGACUAAGAAGCACCGGCUAAAUACGUGCCAGCCGCUGC